rnacentral:tRNA from 2 species
UAUCUAUAUAGUAUAAAAAGUAUAUUUGACUUCCAAUCAUAUGGUCUAUUAUUAAUAGUAUAGAUAA